AUUGAACGCUGGCGGCAGGCCUAACACAUGCAAGUCGAACGAGUGGCGGACGGGUGUGUCAUGUGUGGGAAACUGCCUGAUGGAGGGGGAUAACUACUGGAAACGGUAGCUAAUACCGCAUACCAUCGGAUGUGCCCAGAUGGGCUUAGCUAGUAGGUGGGGUAACGGCUCACCUAGGACACGAUCCCUAGCUGGUCUGAGAGGAGGACCAGCCACACUGGAAAUGAGACACGGUCCAGAGUCCUAAGUGAGGCAGCAGUGGGGAAUAGUGCACAAUGGGCGCAAGCCUGAUGCAGCCAUGCCGCGUGUAUGAAGAAGGCCUUCGGGUUUUAAAGUACUUUCAGCGGGGAGGCGUUACCCGCAGAAGAAGCACCGGCUAACUCCGUGCCAGCAGCCGCGGUAAUAC
rnacentral:rRNA from 1 species